AGGAGUUUUCAACAUCAAGAGAAGGAUUCAAGUGAUCGCUGAGGACUCAGACUGAGUGGCUUGAGAAAGCGGAAGCUGGGAUAGUGCGCCGCUAGCCAGAGGUUUGGUAAAUUCGAGAAUUGCUGGGGUCAAGAUGAUCAAUAGUCAGACUUCAAUGCCCUUGUAUAUGUUUAUUGGCUCAAGAUGAUCACGAAAUUGCUGAAUGAGUGGUGUAGAAACGGCUUUGCAAGAAUAUCCAAUCAGCUGCUUACUUAUGUCAACAGAUAAUAGUUGAUA